CCUACGGGUGGCAGCAGUGGGGAAUAUUGCACAAUGGGGGAAACCCUGAUGCAGCGACGCCGCGUGAGCGAUGAAGUAUUUCGGUAUGUAAAGCUCUAUCAGCAGGGAAGAAAAUGACGGUACCUGACUAAGAAGCCCCGGACAACUACGUGCCAGCAGCCGCGGUAAUACGUAGGGGGCACGCGUUAUCCGGAUUUACUGGGUGUAAAGGGAGCGUAGACGGCGAUGCAAGCCAGAUGUGAAAGCCCGGGGCUCAACCCCGGGACUGCAUUUGGAACUGUAUAGCUGGAGUGUCGGGGAGGCAGGCGGAAUUCAUGGUGUGGCGGUGAAAUGCGUAGAGAUUAGGAGGAACACCGGUGGCGAAGGCGGCCUGCUGGACGAUGACUGACGUUGAGGCUCGAAAGCGUGGGGAGCAAACAGGAUUAGAUACCCUUGUAGUC
rnacentral:rRNA from 1 species